GUAUUUUAUUAAGCCUUUCGGCAAAUAGACAUUCAGAAUUCGAUUAGAGUUUGUAGGAAGGGGGAGUUUAACUUCCCCCUUUACGUGCACAGGUGUGAAAGGAUUAGAGGACGAGCACAGUUAAGGCUCAAGUCCCAAAUUCAUUAAUGAUCCUUCCGCAGGUUCACCUACGGAGA
rnacentral:misc_RNA from 1 species